GGAAAGGCGCGCGAUACAGGGUGACAGCCCCGUACACAAAAAUGCACAUGCUGUGAGCUCGAUGAGUAGGGCGGGACACGUGGUAUCCUGUCUGAAUAUGGGGGGACCAUCCUCCAAGGCUAAAUACUCCUGACUGACCGAUAGUGAACCAGUACCGUGAGGGAAAGGCGAAAAGAACCCCGGCGAGGGGAGUGAAAAAGAACCUGAAACCGUGUACGUACAAGCAGUGGGAGCACGCUUAGGCGUGUGACUGCGUACCUUUUGUAUAAUGGGUCAGCGACUUAUAUUCUGUAGCAAGGUUAACCGAAUAGGGGAGCCGAAGGGAAACCGAGUCUUAACUGGGCGUUAAGUUGCAGGGUAUAGACCCGAAACCCGGUGAUCUAGCCAUGGGCAGGUUGAAGGUUGGGUAACACUAACUGGAGGACCGAACCGACUAAUGUUGAAAAAUUAGCGGAUGACUUGUGGCUGGGGGUGAAAGGCCAAUCAAACCGGGAGAUAGCUGGUUCUCCCCGAAAGCUAUUUAGGUAGCGCCUCGUGAAUUCAUCUCCGGGGGUAGAGCACUGUUUCGGCAAGGGGGUCAUCCCGACUUACCAACCCGAUGCAAACUGCGAAUACCGGAGAAUGUUAUCACGGGAGACACACGGCGGGUGCUAACGUCCGUCGUGAAGAGGGAAACAACCCAGACCGCCAGCUAAGGUCCCAAAGUCAUGGUUAAGUGGGAAACGAUGUGGGAAGGCCCAGACAGCCAGGAUGUUGGCUUAGAAGCAGCCAUCAUUUAAAGAAAGCGUAAUAGCUCACUGGUCGAGUCGGCCUGCGCGGAAGAUGUAACGGGGCUAAACCAU
rnacentral:rRNA from 1 species